rnacentral:misc_RNA from 1 species
GAAAUUCUAUGUAACUGACUAGGAUUAGGCUCUGAAAACUUAACAUUUUCAUUUUCUUUGCCUUAUUUAUUAAUUUAUUUAUGUUGGUUGUUCUGUAGGACGCUUUGAAGACCAUUGAGCAUCUGCAAGAGAGAGUGAGGCAGCUAGAAGGGAGCAAAUUACAGAGCUGCAAAAUUGAGCAGCAGUAAUUAUCAGCCUUGAUUUCGUUCAAGAUUGGUAGUCCUUGAAAUUGAUUUCAGCAAAAGACGUUGAUUCAGCAAGCGCAUAUGUACAAUCUGUUGAGAAUAUUUCUCUCAUCAGACUGCUGUUUGUUGUGUGCAUGACAGCCUGUAAUAAUUUAAUCAUUUUCCUUUGCCAAAUCCUAGAAAAAGGCCUUACAGAGAAAUGUAUAGGAAGCAACAGGGAGCACAGUCCGAAAUGUAUAUUAUUCGUAGUCAACUUUUGAGAAUUUUGUGUUGUUGGGUUAAUUAAGAUUUACUAGCAUGUUUGAGUUGUACUGCUCUCUUAUGAAAAUAGAAAAG